CGGGCGACCGGCAAACGGGUGCGGAACACGUACGCAACCUACCCAAAACUGGGGAAUAGCCCGGGGAAACCCGGAUUAAUACCCCGUAACAUAUUGAGAAGGCAUCUUUUUAAUAUUAUAGCUCCGGCGGUUUUGGAUGGGCGUGCGGCUGAUUAGGUAGUUGGCGGAGUAAUAGCCCACCAAGCCAGCGAUCAGUAACUGGUGUGAGAGCACGACCAGUCACACGGGCACUGAGACACGGGCCCG
rnacentral:rRNA from 1 species